AUCUAGGGGGAAAGGGGAGACCCAGCCUGGACCACCGACCUAAGGCGGCCCAGGGCGCAGGCCUCUUAGCCCCUAGCCUCCCCUGGCGCCCCUCCUAAUCCCCGACGGUUUCCCCUGACCCCGUCCCCGCUGGCGGCCACUGCUUCUCUCUGGAGCUUCUUUACAGAGCCCAGUCUGGGCUUAGACAUGACUCCUUCCAGCAGAGGAGCUGCCGAUGUCCUGCGUGCCAGGAACCUUCCCAUGCACGCCCACCCCUCCGCGUCAGAAGGCCCCCCACGAUGGUGAUGGAUCAUCACUAAUCACUUCCUGGCCAGAUACCAGGCACUGCUCUAAGUGUUUCACAGUAUCCCUGUGUCCCGAAGGGAGAUGGAGGCACGCAGGACACGCGAGUUGGUAAGUGGCAGAGUCAGGACACAAGCUCCUAAGACCUCCUAGAGAAGUCCCACCGCUCUGGUCCUCUGUGUUCAAACAUGUGAAAUGAAGGGUUGGGGGGCGGUUCUCCAGGUUGGUGAGAUACUGGUGGGAUGCAGCGUCCUGGGGGUGGCCAGAGAUGACAGGUGGCCUUCCCCUCUGGGGUCUGCACAAGCAGCUGUCUUUACCCUGCCACCCAGGCCUGGGACCACCCGGAGGACAGAGCAGAGGCAGGCCUCACCUUGUGGCCGUGUGUGGUCUGGAGCGCUGGCAGUGUUCUUGCAGGUGGGCCCCUGUGGACAGUGGAGCAGGGGACCUGGUCCUCUGGGGCUGGGGCCUCUCUGGCUAUGACAAGGACCUGGGGGCCUGGUGGGACUCUUGAGGCCUUUGUGGGGGUCUUCCUUCACCCCCGUCUGUCAGACCCUUCUCUGCAGGGCCUGACGGGCUCCAGGUGGGCCCAGACCACCCCUGACACUUGGCUUCUCCAGGCGUGUGCAGCAGGGUUGGGCAGAUUACCUGAGUGUUGAGUAAUUUUCACAAUGCUUGACGCUGGAAACCAAGGUGACCCUCCCCUCCCUGAGGAGAGGUCUGACCCCAAUUUUCUCAAGAAUAAGCCCACAAAGAAAUGCAAACCUUCAGUGUUUGUUCUACAUGACAAUGCUAUUGGUGGAUGUCAGCAACACAAAAUAGAGGUGGCACCAGCAGCACUGGCCCAGGCCCCAAAUGAGAGCAUCCAGCAGAGGCUCCGCACACAGAACACAGCACAGCUUCCAGCAAGACCCAACAUCACGCCUGUCAUGGCACAGGUUGCCCGCUGUCAAAGUGCCCACUGGGGCCUGACGGAGAAGGCCAUCUUCUUGACACAAUUCAGGUUCAUGGCAUGUGAUGUGGUGGAAUGAUCAGAAGCAAAACAGUUGUAAACAAAAGCCUGAUCUGUCCAUCAAAACUCAUCCGAUAAUUUUUAUGGAAAUAGCUGAUAUCAAUCAAGACAAUUUCAGAAAAAUGAAAAAUUUUGGAAACAAAUUAUCUGCAUACUAUGGAAAAUUGGUCAAAAAUUAAGAUUGGCAUAAUGUCUCCCUGAAAAAUACCCUCAACAUCCCUCACUAAGGAGGAACCAAAAUGUGACAGAUUGACGGGCUGAGGUCAAGAAGGCCUUUGCCUGCUGAUGCCCAGGGCUUGCCUCUCUGCACUCCUGGGAGAUGGGCAUACUGGAUGGGCCAGUCUGCCUCUGCUGUGGAACAUUGGCCUCUGCUCCAAAGAGGCCAAGGUGGGCGGAUCACUUGAGGCCCAGGAGUUCGAGACCAGCCUGGCCAACAUGGCAAAACCCCAUCUGUACUAAAAAAUACAAAAGUUAGCCAGGGGUGGUGGCAUAUGCCUGUAAUCCCAGCUACUUGGGAGACUGAGGCAUGAGAAUCACUUGAGCCUGGGAGGCCAGGGUUGCAGUGAGCUGAGAUCGUGCCACUGCACUUCCAGCCUAGGCGACAGAGCAAGACUCUGUCUCAAAAAAAAAAAAGGCCAGGGGUGGUGGCUCAUGCCUGUAAUCCCAGCAAUUUGGGAGGCCAAGGUGGGUGGAUCACUUGAGGUAAAGAGUUCAAGACCACCCUAGCCAACAUGGUGAAAUCCCAUCUCUACUAAAAAUACAAAAAUUAACCGGGCAUGGUGGCGCACACCUGUAAUCCCAGCUACUCAGGAGCCUGAGGUGGGAGAAUCACUUGAACCCCAGGGGUCAGGGGUUGCAGUGAGCUGAGAUUGUGCCACUGCACUCCAGCCUGGACAACUAAGCAAGACUUUGUCUCAACAAAAAAAGAGGAAAGAGGGAUGUUGUUGGGUGUGGGUUUGAUAUGUGUGCUGUGGUCAGUGUAUGCAUAUGUGUGGGGUAUGGCAUGUAAGCAGCAUGGGUGGUUGGGUGUGCACGUGGUGUGUGUGGUGCACGUGUGUUGUGUGUACAGGUGAGCAUGUAUCUAUGGGGGUCUUUGUAUGGAGUGCAUAUGGUGCUGUGCUGUGUGCCUGUGCCUGUGUCUCAUGUGCAGGUCUUGCAUGUGUGUGUAUAUGGCAUGUGCUUGGUGCAUGUGGAUGUGUGUACUCAUGUAGUGUGUCUGUGGUGUGUGUGCACAUGUGUACGUGUUGUGUAUGACCUAUUCAUGGUUGUGCAUGCAUGGAUGGAUAUGUAUGAGUGGUGUUACUGUGUGGAUACAUACAUUUGUGCACAUGUGUGUGUGGGGUGUGCACAUGCAUAAACCUGUGGCAUGCAGUGUGUGCUCAUGUGCAUGGACAUGUGGUAGGCACAUGGUUUCUGUGUGAAUGCAUCUAUAUAUCUGUCUGCCAUGACCAUGUCCCUUUCCCUGGGCUGACCUUUUUCCUAGGGCCAUGUCUGGAAAUAUGACCUUGACCCUGAGGCUGGCAACAAGGGGCAACCUGUGGGACUGCAGUGCAUGGCUCAGGGGCUCAUUGUCCAGAGAGAAGACAGUGGAGAAAAUGCCCACUCCCCUCUCUGUGGGGACCUGGGCAUGGUGGGGUUCUGUGGAUUGGUUUUGUAUGUGCUUUUCUGACCCAUGUCCUAUUGGUCACGCCUGUUAGAACGUAGGGAUCGCUUGAUGUGAACUUGUCUGUUGCAAAAGUGCCCAACAGCGGAGCAGGUAUGUUUUAGGGUAAUCGACACUUUGAGUCGCCCCCUCUUGGAUGCAGAAAUCCUCCACUGGCUCUCAAGCUCUGGGAUGAGUGAGGGAAGUGUAAACAAUUCAGAAAAUAAUAGAAGAGGCUGGGCAUGGUAGCUCAUGCCUAUAAUCCCAGCACCUUGGGAGGCCAAGGUGAGUGGACCACCUGAGGUCACGAGUUUGAGGUCAGCCUGGCCAACGUGGUGAAACCCCGUCUCCACUAAAAUUACAAAAGUUAGCCACGUGUGGUGGUUUGUGCCUGUAGUCCCAGCUUCUCGGGAGGCUGAGGCAGGAGAAUUGCUUGAACACAGGAGGCAGAGGUUGCAGUGAGCUGACAUUGUGCCACUACACUCCAGCCUGGGCGACAGAGCAAGACUCCCUCUCAAAACAACAAAAAAGAAAACAGGAGAGCCCUGCUGAGCUUUCCUUGGGCUGAUCUUUUUCUAAGUAAGGCUUUUUCUGGGCGAGGCUUUCCCUGGGUGGGGCUUUUUCCGGGCAGAUGGGGCUUUCCCUGGGUCCGAAGUUUCUGGGAGGAGCUUUCCCUAGGCAGGGCCUUCCCUGG